rnacentral:lncRNA from 1 species
CCCAGAGUGAAAGACAGAGGAACCAAUCGAGGCUCGGCUGACCUCAGACGUCUAAGGCGAUAGGCGUUGCUAAGAAAAGGGGGUGGGACGAUACCCAGUUGCCAAGACGACGGCUUCCGGGUGGGCGGCUUGAGGUGGCUUCCGGCCGCCAGGCGAGACUCCGCGGGAAAACUCCCUGCUAGAGAGACUAGGAGAUUUGGGGCUGCGGCCGUUUCCUCCGGAGCACCCACGGGACUGUGUGCUGGGGUCCCUCCACCGGCUGUGUCCUUUAUUCUUCUUUCUCACCCAACGAUUUACCUGAACGGUUAUAAAGUGCACGUUAUUUCCCUAAGCACUUUGAGUAUAUUGGCCCACUGCAUUCUGGACUUCAAAAUUUCUGAUGCGAAAUAUGCUGAUACUUUUGUUGAAGAAAUCUGGUCCUUCUUACUGAUGUGUUGCUCUUCUUCAUGGCUCGUGAAAACUAUUAGAGUCAUCCAAGCUUACAAUCUGAAGGUGUCCGUUCCUACACUGGUCAGACCACUGUCCUUGGGGCAGCUGGGGUCUUUGGGACCCUCCACCGGGCUCGCCGGUCCGUCGGACUUUUGGCUGAGAUCCGUGUCAGACUCCUCCGAAUAGUCGUCUGUUGGCAUCGAGGGCUGAACCCCUGAGGUGCUGCAUGAACUUGAG